AACGAACGCUGGCGGCAUGCCUAACACAUGCAAGUCGAACGAGAUCUUCGGGUCUAGUGGCGCACGGGUGCGUAACGCGUGGGAAUCUGCCCUUUGGUUCGGAAUAACAGUUGGAAACGACUGCUAAUACCGGAUGAUGACGAAAGUCCAAAGAUUUAUCGCCAGAGGAUGAGCCCGCGUAGGAUUAGCUAGUUGGUGUGGUAAAGGCGCACCAAGGCGACGAUCCUUAGCUGGUCUGAGAGGAUGAUCAGCCACACUGGGACUGAGACCCGGCCCAGAUUUCUACGGGAGGCAGCAGUGGGGAAUAUUGGAAAAUGGGCGAAAGCCUGAUCCAGCAAUGCCGCGUGAGUGAUGAAGGCCUUAGGGUUGUAAAGCUCUUUUACCCGGGAUGAUAAUGACAGUACCGGGAGAAUAAGCUCCGGCUAACUCCGUGCCAGCAGCCGCCGUAA
rnacentral:rRNA from 1 species